GGAUGGUGUUAAAUGUGCUUGAGAAGUUGAAGAACAUAAGCCGCACAUCCCACCCCAAACCGUCAAGAAAGGAGAGUGCCCUGUGCAGCAUGAACAGUAUGGCAUCCUCCACACCCAUGUGAGCUCAAUAGGCAAACUGUAAAGGGUCUUGUGCAGGCUGUAGUUGUGGCCCAAGAAGCUGAAGGAGGAGCCUCUCAAGGGUCUUCAUAACUACAGACGUCAGGGCCACUGGUUUGUAGUUUUUGACCCCUGACGGCCUCCCGACCUUGGGCACUGGCACAACGCACGAGGUCUUCCACUGCCUCGACACCUGCCCCGUCUGCAGGCUGCGGUUGAAGAGCACCUGCAGAGGCACUGCCAGCUCUACAGCACAGUCCUUCAGGACCCUCUGUGCUAUGCCAUCAGGCCCAGCUGAUUUACCAGGAGGCACCUUUCGGAGCUCCGCCCUCACCUCAUCCACAGUGAAGUAAUCCCCGUACGGUCCCCCCACAAAGCUGCUGGGUGGAGCAGAGCAGGUGACAAGCAGCAGAGGUGGAGAUGCUGCUGGGUGGAGUAGAGGAGGAGGCGACAGCAGCAGAGUCAAACCUGCAGUAAAAGUGAUUGAACUCCUCGGUCAUAGUGGUGUCCCCGUGUGGCCCACUCUCCUUCGCUUUGUAGCCAGUAAUGGCUCUCAUACCAGUCCACACUUCCCUCAUGUUGUUAUUUUUCAGUUUGCUCUCUAACCUCCUUUUAUAAUCCCUUUCAGCUUGCUUCAUGCUCUUCUCCAGGUCAUGUUGUACAGCCCUGAUAUGGUCCCCAUCCCUUGUUUUUAAAAGCCUCCUUUUUCAGAUUUAGUUGGUGUUUAAUGCUGCUUGUUAUCCAGGACUUGUUUGGGAAACACCGCACUGUUUGGACAGGGGCCACAACAUCCGUGCAGAAUUUUAUAUAGUCAGUGACACAGUCCACCUUUCCCUCCAAGUUGUCAUCAGUAGCCUGUGUGACUAGAAUGUUCCAUUCAGUAGACUGGAAACAGUCCCUCAGAGCUUCGCUAGUCUCUAGUUCCUCUCUUCAUUUGUUCAUUUGUCCAGUGUUAUAGCUCAAACUUCAGAAGACAUCUUGGACACGGAAUUAAAAUCACAAGAGGAAAAAAACUGAAAAGGGGUUUUGUUUUUUGU